GCUAAAACUCGGCCGCUGGGGCCCCGGGCCUUUGCUGCAGAACCGCUCCCGAGCCAGCAGGCCUCCAGCUCACGCCAAACCCAGCCUGGGAUUUGGCAAGGGGGCAGUCCUGCCCACUGAUGAGGAGAAGCGUCAGCCUAGCAUCAACCCUUGAAAACUGGGUGUAUGUUUCCACCUGCAGAGACCGCAGCAGUGAAUCACUCCUCAGCUGCAUUCACUAUACAAAGUUGCCACAGAGACUUCCUAAUGAAUCAGACCCAAGGCAUCCUUCACGCCGAGCCAGGUGGGAGGUACCUGAUCUGGAGGUGCCUUAGCCGCCCGUACCGUUACGCGGCCCUGUCCUAAACGCUGCACCGCGCGCAGCACACGCUGCCGCCCUGACUUGGGGUGCGGUUUCACGUUGCAGUUAAGCUGAUACGCUUUACGGUGCCUCUGAAAGGACCACCCCCUUUUGACAACUGCAGGGCACUUAGUAGUUGAGCCGCGUUGUCUGAGUGAUUCCUGGUAUUUAAAUGAACCCACGUAUUGCCAAAGGAUGUGCUUUCCUAUGCUCUUCCUUGGCUCUAACUGAAGUUAGGUUGCAGCAGGGAGGCUGUGCUGGUGGCCUUCCUGCUCACCUUGAAAAGUCCCAGGAUCAGGCUUGUGGAUCUUGAUGAUAUUGCUGUAAGUAUUGGCAAGGGGGAUAUUACAUGAUUAGGGGCAGGGGGGAUCAUCUCACAACUGCAAGCAGGGAAACCAGUCCACAAGAAGGCCCCGUUCCUCAGCCGUGGUCCACAUGUUGAAAGCUUUGAGAAUCCCUGAGCCACCUUCUGCUUUCUGCCUAUUUCCAGGCAGAAAACUGUGGCUGAAAGAAAACCCAUGGAACCUACGGCAGAACCUGAGAUUUAGCCUGGGAUAGCCAUAAAAGCCUGGCUGGCAACCAGGCAUCUCAAAGAGCCAAGCUGAGAUUAUGCAUGCAUCCUUAAUUUAGCCAUUGUUUAACAUUUAAAUGUUAUACUAUGACCUUCAAAAUAGUCUUCUAAUGUAAAUUUGUAACAAAUAUCCUUGGAAUUAUUAACAACAACAAAAAAAAGGUUGAGGAAAAAUCAAUAGGAGAUGGUCUCUGAGGCUUUGAAGAUGUGCUGGCUGCUUUUAAAAAAGGCAACUGAGCCAGAAAGCCUCUCUGCCAGGAAUUUCUCUGUAAUCUGUCUUUUGAGGGCUAAUAUCCUUGAACAAGACUGCUGGAUGUCAUCUGCUUUUAACCACAGCCUCCUGCGUACCACGAGUAAACCAAACAUCAUGAUGUUUAUUAAAUAUGCGGAGGCAAAUCAGACAACGAAAAUAAGGGAGAGCACAAGCAGCUAGAUUUUGUCUUGCUCCAGGAGGAUUCUACCCACCGCACCUCUCCAGCACGUAACAUGUUGUAAACAUGCCCCUGGGGCAUGCAAAUUAUUCCCACAGCUGAGGUCAGGACAUGAAUUUAUCAGCUGAGAGAGCUGCCAGCUCUCAUGGCUGUACAAUAUUUAUAAAUUACUAUGCAACAAGUAAGAUUCAGAAUUUUGCUAAUUUGCCUACAUCGUUCCGUUUUCCAGCUGUUGCCUACAUCACAGAUCACAGGUGCUGGCCAGCCGGAAUGCAUCCGUGUCCCUGUGCCUGGAGACAUUAGAAAUGCCCGGGCACCUUUAGUGAAGGUUGAGUGGCACCUGGAGCGCCAGGCCUUGGAGCAGCGUCUUCCUUGGCCGCAGGUCCAUGCCCGCGGUCUCCUGCUGCGGCCCAGCUCAGCACCAGCACCCCUGCCCGCCCGCCUCUGCCAGCAGCUCUGGAGCCUGUCUGCAUGAUCCAAGGAGCUGCUCUGGUGCCUACAAACCUGGGAGAUGGCAGAGCAUGUGCGAGAGCAGCGCUGACCGACCUCCUGGACUGCCAUCUGCAUAUUCAGAAGUCAUUUCCAGCCGGUUGGCUGCCUCCGGCCUCCCCACUCCCUCUUUAAAGGACCUGGGCGCAGAGGGAGGUGACGCUGGGCUGGUGCUGGGCAUCCCGUGUCCCUCAGCCCGCCCGGCAGCCCAGGAUGGGGUGCCUGCGGGGCGCCGCAUCCUCCGCACCCGGGCGAGCCCAGGGUGUGGGACGGUUUCCUGCACGGUCUCAGCCAAGGAGGGAGCAGAGGCAGAGGGGAUUCAGAGAGGCAUGACAGAGAAGGGGGAAGACCACUGUAUGGUAUUGGAAUGAUAGACCGUGUAACCUGUGGAGGAGACAGUCCUGAGGACCCGCAUUGGAGGGACAAAGAAGGGUGCAGAGUCCCGUGGGUGCUCUCUAUCCCUGUGCACGGCCCCCAGGAGCACCUAAAUCCACCUUCGCGCAGGCGUGUGCGGAGGCAGGAGCUCACCCCCCCGCCCUGGGGCCCACAAGCCCACAGGGAAGUCUAGCUGAAGAUAUUUAUGGAGAAGCUGGGGCUGAGGUGCAGCAAGAUGGAGCUCUAAGCCCUCUGGAUGGCAGGGCCACCUCUGGUGCCGAGAGCGCUCUGGGCAGCGCCGCUGCCCUGGGUGCAGCUGGCUACAUGGGAAGUCCUUGCUGGUGAGCCCAUGUUAGAGCCAAACGGCUCAAACCGUUUGCUGUGAACGCCCGGCACCAUCAACAACUGAACAUCUGACGGUCUGCUCCCAUGUUUGCA